AGCUGCACCCACACCACACGCAAGCUAAGCAGGGUCGGCUCAGAUCCCUCCUCGGAUGGGAGACUGCUAAGGAAUACUUAGGGGGUGCAGGGC
rnacentral:rRNA from 1 species